rnacentral:lncRNA from 1 species
CCCAUGUUUUACUGCAAGAAAAACAGGACCAAGAAAUACAUAAUGGAACAAUUUCAAGUUUUCAUUGGGAAAAAUAAAACAUUUCAUUUGUCAUAGACCAGACUGUUAAAAGGAGAAUAUAUCCUUUUGGAGAACAGAGAGAAGGGAUGCGUUCUAGCAGUAAAGCAUUCACCUUUGUUUUGUGUUGUUCAUCCUUUACAUCUCACAUGUUAAAGGUGGUGUCUUCCAAAGCUGGUGUUCAGUUAGCCAUGAUAUGUUUCACAAAAGCUUCAUAGUUGAUACAACCAUUGGCAUCUUCCUGGCCAGCCAUUAGCUUAUCAACUUCCUCUUCAGUCAACCUUUCACCCAGCGUAGCCAGAACAUGGCGAAGUUCAGCCCCCAUCACUGUUCCAUUUCCCUCCUUGUCAAACACACGCAGACCUUCCACAAAGUCCUCGUAGGUGCCUGUGUCUUUUGUCUUGGAAAUGUGCUGGAGCAUGGGCAGGAAGGUCUCAAAGUCAAUCAUCUUGGAGUUCAUCUCUUCUUGUUUGGGUCUGCCAAGCACCUUCAUGACCUCAGCCUGGGUUGGAUUCUGCCCCAAAGCCCUCAAGACAUCUCCACAUUGCGCAUAUGUGAUCUUCAUCUCAGAUUUGGGAGUACGGUCAAAAAGUGAGAAUGCUUCCUUAAAUUCUUCAAUCUGAUCAGGGGUGAAUUCAACUUUGAUAGAAGCUGGGUUAAAUUCAACUUCUUUUUUGGGCUCUGGUUCUGCUGGCUUAGGUGCUGGUUUGGGUUCUUCCUUCUUGGGUUCAGGCGCCUUCUUAGGUUCAGGCUUCUUUGGAGGCAUGGUGCUUGCUGGUGGGCUGCUUUUGGAAAGAAGGGCACAGACAGGCAAGAGGUGGCUGCUGCAGGAAAAGUCACCAGUGCACUCAGGUCUUUAUCCCUGUCCAGUCUCUUGAAGUCACAGUGUGUCACUCUCAGACCUGUCACAUGCCAGAGCUUACAAUGGGGCCACUGCUAUAAAAGGACAAGACACUUGCAUGGCUAUUUUAAAGCCAUCCGAUACGGCAUUGUUAUGAAUUAGCACUUAAAUGGAAGAAGGGAUUGGGGGUUUUAGGGCUAGCUGGCACCGGCACAAGCAUUUUUAGUGCGGGUGUGCACGUGUGUACAUGUGCACUGAGGAGGUUGGGUUACAGCCCAGGUCCCAGCGAUGGGUUUUAUCCUCCCAAGGCUCUGCUGACACCUUCCCAGCUCACCUGCUGCAGACUGUCUCUCUUUCAGGCUGGAUGGCACCCCUGGCCUUUGUUGUGACACGGCCUGUUGAAUGGCU